AAUCAACGCUGGCGGCGCGCCUAACACAUGCAAGUCGAACGAGAAAGCCGCAAGGUGAGUACAGUGGCGCACUGGUGAGUAACACGUGGAUAUCUACCUCCUGGUGGGGAAUAACCUGGGGAAACUCGGGCUAAUACCGCAUAAGCUUUUGCGAGGAAAGCCGAAAGGCGCCGGGAGAGGAGUCCGCGGUCGAUUAGCUAGUUGGUAGGGUAAAGGCCUACCAAGGCGAAGAUCGAUAGCCGGCCUGAGAGGGCACACGGCCACACUGGCACUGAAACACGGGGCAGACUCCUACGGGAGGCAGCAGUGGGGAAUUUUGCACAAUGGGGGAAACCCUGAUGCAGCGACGCCGCGUGAACGAUGAAGCCCUUCGGGGUGUAAAGUUCUUUCGGCAGGAACGAUAAUGACGGUACCUGCAGAAGAAGCUGCGGCUAACUACGUGCCAGCCGCCGCCGUAACAC
rnacentral:rRNA from 1 species